rnacentral:rRNA from 1 species
UGGGGAAUAUUGCACAAUGGAGGGAACUCUGAUGCAGCGACGCCGCGUGAGUGAUGAAGGAAUUCGUUUCGUAAAACUCUGUUCUAUGGGAAGAAAAGGACUGUACCAUAGGAGAAAGCUCCGGCUAAAUACGUGCCAGCAGCCGCGGUAAUACGUAUGGAGCGAGCGUUGUCCGGAAUUAUUGGGCGUAAAGGGUGCGCAGGCGGCUUUACAAGUUGGAUGUGAAAUAUUGUGGCUCAACCACAAACGUGCAUCCAAAACUGCAAAGCUUGAGUUAAGGAGAGGUAAGUGGAAUUCCUGGUGUAGCGUUGGAAUGCGUAGAUAUCAGGAGGAAUACCGGUGGCGAAGGCGACUUACUGGACUUAAACUGACGCUCAGGCACGAAAGCGUGGGGAGCAAACAGG